rnacentral:rRNA from 1 species
AACGAACGCUGGCGGCGCGCCUAAUACAUGCAAGUCGAGCGAGAAGACGUAGCAAUACGUUUGUAAGGCGGCGAACGGGUGAGGAAUACAUGGGUAACCUACCCUAGAGUGGGGAAUAACUAGCCGAAAGGUUAGCUAAUACCGCGUACGCUCCUUGGACUUCGGUUCAGGGAGGAAAGCGAUACCGAGGGUAUCGCGCUCUUGGAUGGGCUCAUGUCCUAUCAGCUUGNGGUGAGGUAACGGCUCACCAAGGCUUCGACGGGUAGCUGGUCUGAGAGGACGAUCAGCCACACUGGCACUGCGACACGGGCCAGACUCCUACGGGAGGCAGCAGUAAGGAAUAUUGCGCAAUGGGCGAAAGCCUGACGCAGCGACGCCGCGUGGGGGAUGAAGGUCUUCGGAUUGUAAACCCCUUUCGGGAGGGAAGAUGGAACGAGCAAUCGUUCGGACGGUACCUCCAGAAGCAGCCACGGCUAACUUCGUGCCAGCA